CUCUAGGAAAAAAAAAAUAUGUCGAAGUUCAUAUACCGUGCGUAUGUGUUUGUGUGGCAGGAAUGUGUGUGUGUGUGUGUGCGCGCACUUGGGGGUGGGGGGAUGAGUGGUUUUUCUCCCUGAUGCAGUAUAAUGCUUUUUUUUUGUUUUUUUCUUUUUUAGGGGGGUGGGGGGAGGAUUGGGUUUUUUUGUUUUUUUCUUUGGUCAUUGGUCAAACAUUUAAUUGUUAUUAGCUUCUAACUUUGCACUGAGUGUCCGCAGCCCUUCCCAUAUAGCUAAAUCCCCCUUUACUACGUUCAAAAAAACAAACAAAAAACCCAAUGGGACGGGGCCGGCGACAAUUCACGUGUAAAUGUUUACUCAAGGACUCUUGUUUAUUGCGUCGAAAUGACAAGCGUGUAUCUCUGGAGAAUAAUAUGUGUAUAUCUACCUUUAGCGGCUUUUUAUUGUGGACUAAAUAAUGCAAGGAAGCGAGAUGCCCGGAGUAUUGCACCGUUUCUCCACUGGGAACGUGAAAAGUUCCGAGAAGAAGAGGGGAGACAGAGAGAGAGAAGCAAGCAAGCAAGCAGACAGUUAUUGGAACUGUGGCCCUAGCGCUCCAACGCCAAGCCCAGCGGCCACCUGGCCUGAACCCGCCCGGACCGACGGGGACGAGCACUUGCGUAGGUUUUGACUGCUUUCGGCGGGGGCCGGAGGUUUCCGGCCCCCACCUGUUUACAGACCUGUUUUUGUUUUAUUUCCCCCUGGCUCCCUCUUCCCCUCUCCCUCUCCCCAACCCCCCCCCCCGAACUUUAAUGUAAAAAAAAUUGAAUUUUAAAAAAAGAGAAAAAAAAAAAGGAAAAAAAAGAGACUUCCAUCGUCAAAGAAAACCUAUUUUCAGAAAGAAGACGUGCUACUUCAGAGCUCUGGGAUCGAACAGCGGUGCCGUGGUGGUGUCCUCCUUUCCUCGGCCAUCCUCGUGUAUCUUUUCUUUUCCUUUGGUUUUCCCUCCCUCCCUCCCGUCCGUCUGUCCGUCCGUGCGGCGGAAGGAAACCUUGUGGUCACUUAUCUUGCACAUGGUGGAAGAGGUCUCAGGGAAGUGGUUUUCCCGAGGAGCAGCUCACACCAUUUUCAUGUAUUUUUACAACCCAACUCCUAGCACUGAAGAUAUUAUUACAAAAAAAAAAUAGAAAAAAAAACCAAAAAAAAACAAAAGUGUAAAAAAAAGACAGAAGAAAAUUACCUAAUCUAAUGUGUAGCAGUUACAUAUUUACCAAAUAAUGGACUCAAAAGAAAUAGAUGUUUGAAGAGUGCUUUAUAUAUGAAAAAAUUGCUUUAUGUUUUAAAAAAAUGAUCAAUGUUUUGAUUGUUUUGAAAGGAAGAAAGACAAUGGAAUAACAUACCCUCAAGUAUGUUUUUAAAAAAAAAAAUAUAUGAACAUUGUGCUCCCUUGCCUGCCUGCUUGGAUCAGGAAACUUGUGCAUUACAUUGUUUUUUUUUUUUGUUUUAGUUUUUGGGUUCCUUUUUUUUGUUUUUGAAAAUUAGCUUUUUAAUGGUUUUAUCAAAAACAGAGGGUCCUGCAAGAUUGCAAAUCAACAAAAGCUGGUUUUCUAGAGGAUCAUGAACUAUGCACAAACUGGGUUCAAGACUUUUUUUCUCUCAAGUUUUAGUAGUGUAUUUAGCUAAAUAACCCUUCCUCAGAGUAACUGCAUCUCAUUGCCAUUACAUGCAUUAUAUAUAUAUAUUUCCUAUAUGUACAGAUGGAUAUGUAUAUCAAAUAUAUAUAUGGGUGUGUGUGUGUGUGUGCGCGCCCGUGCGCUUAACUACAUACAGUUCCUCCAUGCUGAAGUUUAGCAUUGAGUUGUAGAAAAAAAAAACUCCUGAUGUUUUAAAAUUGGGGAUGGAAGUUUUAAAAAAAAAAAAGUCGGUGUCAUUUCUUUGCCUUUAUUUUCAAUUUAAGAUGUCUGUAACUCUGAGAUUUAAGAAAAAAAAGUUUGUGGCUUUUAAUGUUUUCUCCUCCUAGAAUGUGAUUGUUAACGAACACUCCCCGAAAGUACGAAGCUUCGUUGAAACUUAAUAAAUUGCAGUUUUUUUUCUUGGCUGUUCAAAUAAACGUGCAUUAUCUUUUGAAGAAGGACCGCCUGUGGCGGAGCGGGGACGGACCCCACAGCCGGACCUGUUCCCUGCGUACUGCCCAGGACCUGGAACUUCCUCCAAAAUAGUGGCAGAAACAGCCGGGGAUAAGUGAAGGAAGGAAAGGGACAGAGAAAACAAACCAGGACUAGAGAAAGGAGGGAAAGAAAUCGG